CUUGCAGAAGUUCAACCAGACCCAGGUUGUCUCAUCAUCUGCGUCUCCAUCGCCAUGCCAGGUGCUGAUGCUCCUCAGUGAUUGCGAUGUACCUUGGCCCAAUUGGUUGUCCCACCUCACAUAUACAUACCAUCCGAGUAAGAAAGAAUCAACACUCCAUUGAGCAAAUACUCCAGUAUUUGCAGUGUGCAUUGUGUCUGGGGCUGCUGUAUGUUCUCCUCCUGGCUACCAUCACAGUGCUGUGGGUAAAGUUGAGAGAGAGAGACCAGUUACAGACCAGUUACAGCAACCUGACUGUAGAGAUAGACCAGCUAAAGAAAGAGAGAGAAAGACUCCAAAGAAUGUUUUCUUAACUAGGUAAGUGAGCAUUUGCAGGACAUUUGCAGUACUGCGCAAAUGUCUUAAUAAUGUAAGAAAAUUGUGUCUAAACUGUUCAUAUGGCUAGUAAGUGUCACCAUGCUUCUUCUUUUACUCUUUUUCAGUCAAAACAGUUAUGUUGAGGGUGAGGCUCUGUGCUGCUCUUCCUGAUUGUGUACAUAUAUAGACAGCAGGCUGGAGAUGCUUCAGCUCCAGCAUGUAUUACAUCUCUGCUGUGAAGAAGAGCUGGAGUGAGAGCAGACAGGACUGCAGAGAGAAAAGAGCAGACCUGGUGACCAUAAACAGCAAAGAGGAACAGGAGUUCAUCAGCAAAACUCUUGGUAGUCUUUCUGCUUGGAUUGGUUUGACUGAUAGUGAAAGAGAGGGAACUUGGAAAUGGGUGGAUGGUACAGCACUGACCACUAAGUAAGAGACCACUGAACUGAAUCUGAUCAUGAUAAAGUUACUGACUCUUGGUCUUCAUUAAUUUAAGAAACACACGUGACCCUCUGAUUCUCUCUUUCCGAUACUGGGGAAGUGGGGAACCCAAUAGUCAUGCAGGGGAUGAGGACUGUGUUAUGCUUAAUGACGGGAAAUGGGCAGAUUAUCCUUGUAGUUCCUAUUUCAUUUGGAUUUGUGAAGAUAAAACUUUUAAAUGAGUCUGUAUCUUCACCGGUGCAGUAAAGGAUUUUAAACAAGAUUAAAGCAAAUAUCUUCACUCUUUUAAUGACUUUCUGCCUUCUUGUAUAAAGCUGGUAUAAUGAAAUAAUUGUGGAAGUGGAGCUACAAUUAGCCUUUGCCUUGUCAUGUCUAUAUAACAUAUAACAUUGUCACUAGUAGACUGUGUCACAGACUACAAAUUAGAUUACAAAUUCCUAAUUAAAAAUUUCUGUUUAGUCAGCAGGCCAUGAUGACACAAAAUAUAACAGUUAUCAAGCUGACCUUAACUUUGCUCCUGGAAAUUUGUAAAACAUGA